rnacentral:rRNA from 1 species
UACGUAGGCAGCGAGCGUUGUUCGGAAUUACUGGGCGUAAAGAGUGUGUAGGCGGUGUUCCCAGUCUGUUGUGAAAUCUCCCGGCUUAACUGGGAGGGUGCAGCGGAAACUAGAAUGCUAGAGGGUGGGAGAGGUAAGCGGAAUUCCUGGUGUAGCGGUGAAAUGCGUAGAUAUCAGGAGGAACACCUGUGGUGUAGACAGCUUUCUGGACCGUAACUGACGCUGAAACACGAAAGCGUGGGUAGCAAACAGG